UGUGGGAGCGGGCUUGCUCGCGAAGGCGUCGUGUCAUUCAACAUCAAUGUUGAAUGAUCGACCGCUUUCGCGAGCAAGCCCGCUCCCACA
rnacentral:antisense_RNA from 1 species